rnacentral:rRNA from 1 species
GCAAGUCGAACGAGAAAGCUCCUUCGGGAGUGAGUAGAGUGGCGGACGGGUGAGUAACGCGUGGGAAUCUACCUCGUAGUGGGGGACAACUUGUGGAAACGCAAGCUAAUACCGCAUACGUCCUGAGGGAGAAAGCAGGGGAUCUUCGGACCUUGUGCUAUGAGAUGAGCCCGCGUCGGAUUAGCUAGUUGGUGGGGUAAAGGCCUACCAAGGCGACGAUCCGUAGCUGGUCUGAGAGGAUGAUC